GAUGAACGCUGGCGGCGUGCUUAACACAUGCAAGUCGAACGGUGAAGCAGAGCUUGCUCUGUGGAUCAGUGGCGAACGGGUGAGUAACACGUGAGCAACCUGCCCCUGACUCUGGGAUAAGCGCUGGAAACGGCGUCUAAUACUGGAUAUGAGCUGCGACCGCAUGGUCAGCAGUUGGAAAGAUUUUUCGGUCUGGGAUGGGCUCACGGCCUAUCAGCUUGUUGGUGAGGUAAUGGCUCACCAAGGCGUCGACGGGUAGCCGGCCUGAGAGGGUGACCGGCCACACGGGGACUGAGACACGGCCCAGACUCCUACGGGAGGCAGCAGUGGGGAAUAUUGCACAAUGGGCGAAAGCCUGAUGCAGCAACGCCGCGUGAGGGAUGACGGCCUUCGGGUUGUAAACCUCUUUUAGCAGGGAAGAAGCGAAAGCGACGGUACCUGCAGAAAAAGCGCCGGCUAACUACGUG
rnacentral:rRNA from 1 species